GCUGCCAUUCCUCUGCAGCAGGAGCACUUUCCAUUCUCUUUUUCUUCAGGGAUUUGAUUUUGUGUAGACGUGGGAAGAGUAUGCAAACGACUUGAUCAAGAGCAUUGAAGAAAAUAAUGGUCUAGGCAGAUAUACCGGAGGGCCUGAUGAUCAGAAAGAGGACCUUACCAGCAAGAGAAUGAUUGGAGUGGGUGAAGAGCGAGAUGGCCUAUAUUUCUACAAACA